UCGCGAUCGAUGUACUGUUCCUAAGGAGGAAGUUAUGGUUUUGCUCUCAAAUACCGCCCUCGGUGAUUUUCUUCUCCGCUGGUUCGCUCUAUCCUGAAGCUUCUUUUUUCUGUUUCUUUUUUGGCAUCAUUCUUCCCUCUGUUCUUCCAUUUUAGUCGUGCCCCGAAAUCAAACUCCUUCCCUACACCCUGCACUUCAAUACAUUUAUUCUUCCUCUCACUCUACCGUCUGCACCGCUUCGUUUCCUAAAGCUUCUUCUCCUUUCUGCUAUUUGUUUUUGGGAACGUUUUUGCUUCUCCGUCCAAUCGAACCGUCAUUCAUUUUAGGGUUUAUUUUAUGGGUUUUUCCCAAAGAUCUUUAUAUUCGCUUCAAAUCACUAUAUUUGGGUCUUCAGGGUUUGUCAUCAUCAGCAAGGAGCCAAGGAGUGAAGGUGAUUCGGGGUUAUUUGGAAUCCCGUAAAUGACUGAUUAAGCUUCUCUCUCUCUCUCUCUCUCUCUCUCUCUCUCUGUUGGUCACGGUUACUCAGAUUGCAAGGUAUCUGAUUCCGAUGAUUCACUUACAGGAACUAAAUCUCAAGCAUCGGCUUGCAGUGGCUUGAGCUUCUUUUGAGUUUGAGGGAACGAUUGUGUAAGUAAAGAAUCUUCUCCUGAGACCCAGACAGAAAGGAACAAGGUGAGGGAAGUGGGAAUCUUGACCAAAUAUUUUCUGCGAUCCAAAGGAACUGUUUUGCUAUCGAUUGGAAGAAUUCUGAUAGGGUUGUGAUCGGAACAGUGCUAAACGUUUGUCGGCUCAGAUACGGUUCUCUUCUAAAUUGAUCAUACUCAUUUUCUUGAUCUUUGUUUUCUAUCUAGAUAUUUCUGUUAUAAAGCAUUGGAUCAAGGAGAAUCGUUCUACUCUCUAUCAUGGAUUUGUUACCUGCUUUUGGUUGGAUGAUAAUAAUCAUGACAAAAAGGCCUAUAAAUCAAGGAAUGCCCUUUAUUGAAAUCUAGAAUGUCAUCUCAUGUGCAUCUAUAGCUCUUAAGCUUGGGAAUUAUUGAAUCAGUCGUACCACUAAUUGAAGUUGAGGUGAAAAAAGAGAAGACAAGAAGGGGAAUUGGUAUACAGAAGUGCAGGUAGAAUUUAUAUAGCAUCAUGUACAAGUUAUACUUAUACCAAGC